GGGCCCGCACAAGCGGCGGAGCAUGUUGCUUAAUUCGACGCAACGCGAAGAACCUUACCAAGGUUUGACAUGCAGGGAAAAGCCGUAGAGAUACGGUGUCCGUAAGGGUCCUGCACAGGUGGUGCAUGGCUGUCGUCAGCUCGUGUCGUGAGAUGUUGGGUUAAGUCCCGCAACGAGCGCAACCCUCGUCCUAUGUUGCCAGCGGAUAAUGCCGGGGACUCAUAGGAGACUGCCGGGGUCAACUCGGAGGAAGGUGGGGAUGACGUCAAGUCCUCAUGCCCCUUAUGUCUUGGGCUGCAAACAUGCUACAAUGGCCAGUACAAAGGGUUGCGAGACCGCAAGGUGGAGCGAAUCCCAAAAAGCUGGUCUCAGUUCGGAUUGGGGUCUGCAACUCGACCCCAUGAAGUCGGAGUCGCUAGUAAUCGCGAAUCAGCAACGUCGCGGUGAAUACGUUCCCGGGCCUU
rnacentral:rRNA from 1 species